rnacentral:rRNA from 1 species
CUUUGCCGGCGAGCGGCGGACGGGUGAGUAAUGUCUGGGAAACUGCCUGAUGGAGGGGGAUAACUACUGGAAACGGUAGCUAAUACCGCAUAACGUCGCAAGACCAAAGAGGGGGACCUUCGGGCCUCUUGCCAUCAGAUGUGCCCAGAUGGGAUUAGCUAGUAGGUGGGGUAACGGCUCACCUAGGCGACGAUCCCUAGCUGGUCUGAGAGGAUGACCAGCCACACUGGAACUGAGACACGGUCCAGACUCCUACGGGAGGCAGCAGUGGGGAAUAUUGCACAAUGGGCGCAAGCCUGAUGCAGCCAUGCCGCGUGUAUGAAGAAGGCCUUCGGGUUGUAAAGUACUUUCAGCGGGGAGGAAGGCGGUGAGGUUAAUAACCUCAUCGAUUGACGUUACCCGCAGAAGAAGCACCGGCUAACUCCGUGCCAGCAGCCGCGGUAAUACGGAGGGUGCAAGCGUUAAUCGGAAUUACUGGGCGUAAAGCGCACGCAGGCGGUCUGUCAAGUCGGAUGUGAAAUCCCCGGGCUCAACCUGGGAACUGCAUUCGAAACUGGCAGGCUAGAGUCUUGUAGAGGGGGGUAGAAUUCCAGGUGUAGCGGUGAAAUGCGUAGAGAUCUGGAGGAAUACCGGUGGCGAAGGCGGCCCCCUGGACAAAGACUGACGCUCAUGUGCGAAAGCGUGGGGGGAGCAAACAGGAUUAGAUACCCUGGUAGUCCCACGCCCGUAAACGAUGUCGACUUG